GUGCUCGCUUCGGCAGCACAUAUACUAAAAUUGGAACCGUACAAAGAAGAUUAGCAUGGCCCCUGUGCAAUGAUGACACGCAAAUCUGUGAAGUGUUCCAUAUUUUU
rnacentral:snRNA from 1 species